UUAAAUUGAAGAGUUUGAUCAUGGCUCAGAUUGAACGCUGGCGGCAGGCCUAACACAUGCAAGUCGAACGGUAACAGGAAACAGCUUGCUGUUUCGCUGACGAGUGGCGGACGGGUGAGUAAUGUCUGGGAAACUGCCCGAUGGAGGGGGAUAACUACUGGAAACGGUAGCUAAUACCGCAUAACGUCGCAAGACCAAAGAGGGGGACCUUCGG
rnacentral:rRNA from 1 species